rnacentral:rRNA from 1 species
GUUGAUGCCCCCAAUGUUUAUCCCCCACCACAUCCCCGUGUACCAUCUAUCAAAGCAAAUGAGGUUGAGUUGUAUGCCCCCAAUGCUUCUAGCCAACCACCAACUAGCCAAGCAAAUGAAGUUGAGGUGAUUGCUAGUGACGGAGUAAUUCAAGAGGAUGAAGAUGCUUAUGAUGACGACGAAGAGCAAGAGGAAGGGUUUCAUGGUAAUGAUGUUGGUGACUUGGAUGCGUACAUAGCGCAAAAGGACAUGGAUCGUGACUUGCCUUUUAGGCGUCAAUAUGCGUAUGACUCGGAUGACGAGGGUCCAGCUGAACAGUUGGACGAGGAUGGAUUCACAAAGGAGGAGAACCAAAUCCACUUUGAGCUGACGGGCUUACAAAAAAGAACUCACUUGUUUAAAGAUCUCAGCCUU